rnacentral:lncRNA from 1 species
UUUUAUUCUCGUUGUUCUUCAGCAUAUACCCAACUGUAACCAAACUGGAGCCUAGUUAUAUCCUAGUUGGGAAGCACUGUGUUAUAUAAUUCUAUUAAUGUUAACCUUUAAUGCUUCUCAGCUUUAACUGUAAGAACACACUACCUCCUCAUCACUCUGGUGACAUGUGAAGGCUGGAAAACCUGAUGUUCAGGAAAAAAUUUACAAUAAACAGACUAUGAAGACAAUGACAUCUCUAAUCCUCAUACUGUAGAAGAUGAAGCAAGAGAAAUACCACAAGUUUCAAGCCAGGAUGGGAGACACUCAGAAAAGAACUAGUUUUGUACAGAGUUGUAUGGA